rnacentral:lncRNA from 1 species
CCUUACCCAUAUUAUGAUUGCCUCUGACAACCUCAGCCAUAGUAGGGGAUGAAUGUUCAGAAAUGGCUAUAUCAGAAAAUUGCAAUUUCCUAACAGCCAAGUUAGCAGGAUCUGCAUCGUUUACCUUUAAUUGAGGCUCUACACUCACAAUUUCAUCUGCAUGCAAAGUGAUUUUAGCUUGAAAUUUCUCAGGUAGGAAGUUCCCAAAAGUUAACGGUUCCAAUUCUUUGGUUUCUCCUAGAGCUGGAGUAACGAUUUGCGAAGUGGAUGGUGCUGGUUGUCGCCGGCGACGCGCC